rnacentral:rRNA from 1 species
AUUGAACGCUGGCGGCAUGCCUUACACAUGCAAGUCGAACGGUAUCGCGGGGGCAACCCUGGCGACGAGUGGCGAACGGGUGAGUAGCGCAUCGGAACGUGCCCAGUAGUGGGGGAUAGCCCGGCGAAAGCCGGAUUAAUACCGCAUACGACCUACGGGUGAAAGCGGGGGACCACAAGGCCUCGCGCUAUUGGAGCGGCCGAUGCCCGAUUAGCUAGUUGGUGAGGUAAAGGCUCACCAAGGCGACGAUCGGUAGCUGGUCUGAGAGGACGACCAGCCACACUGGGACUGAGACACGGCCCAGACUCCUACGGGAGGCAGCAGUGGGGAAUUUUGGACAAUGGGGGAAACCCUGAUCCAGCCAUGCCGCGUGCGGGAAGAAGGCCUUCGGGUUGUAAACCGCUUUUGGCAGGAACGAAACGGCGCGUGCUAAUACCGCGCGCUAAUGGCGGUACCUGCAGAAUAAGCACCGGCUAACUACGUGCCAGCAGCCGCCGUAA